GGGCCGGAAAGCCAAGCGGGGCAAGGCUUCCAGGGACGCGCGGUGACCGGCGGCGACGCCGGUUUUUGGCCUGGAACUGCCUUACACGCAGGGGGUCCCAGGUUCGAACCCUGGUUCGCCCACCA
rnacentral:tRNA from 1 species